AUUAUUAUUUAUAUAUCUAGACUUUAUAAAACAUUAUUAAUAUUUAAACUUAUAAAAAGUUUAAUAUAUAGAGUUUAAAAAAGUCUUAAUUCUUUCCGUCAUAUUUUGUGACUCGAAAUUUUAAAAAUAAACAUAUAUUAACCAAUUGGCAAAAAAUGUGUGAGUUAUACGUCCCACAUGGACUAAAAUAUUUAGACAAUGAUUCAUAAACAUAUCAUAAAUAAGAUUAACAUUAAUAAAAUAAUGGUUUUUUUACAGGACGGGUUUGGCGGGACGGGUUUAGCAGGACGUUACUUAAUAACAAAUAUAAAGUAUAAAAUAAAAAUAUUUUAUAAAUAGAUACAAUUUGCAAAAUUUUAUAUAUACUAACUUUAAAAUAUAAAUUGUCCCCGCGGUGUACCGGUUAAAAUCUAGUACUAUUAAUACAAUACAUUAUAAAUAGUACAAGAAAUAUAUCAAAAUAGAUAUAGGUAUAUAUAUAUAUAUAUAUUAAAAUUUUCAAAACUCAGAUUUUUAUGUAAUCAAUUUCAGAUUAAUCUGUUAACUAAAAUUAUACUAAUUUAGUAUUAUUAUAACUAAUAUUAAUUAAAAACAGUAUU
rnacentral:sRNA from 1 species